rnacentral:misc_RNA from 1 species
UCUCCGUCUCUAUCUCUCUCCGUAUUAUCCGUAUCAUCCUUUCCUCUGUUUGAAACCACCAGAUCCUCCAAUUUUCCAAACACCAAAAUUAAAAGAAAAUUCAGAUUUUUAUAUAAAUUUCCAGUUUCCAUGUUUCAAAAUUUCACUGAACCCGUCGCAGUCGCAGGGAAAAAAUCAUUACAAUAGUGAACGAAAAUGGAUUCAUUUGCAUUUUCUCUCCAGCUGAACCAAACCCUCUCUCUCAAUUAAGUAAUCUAUUUUUCUUACCAUGAUGGCUCUGCUUCAGCUCAUUUCAACUCACAAACCCUCGUUAAAACCCAAUACUAACCUUCCUCCUUUAAACCCUUCCUCCAAUUCUUCUGCUCUCCAUUACCACAGUCGCUGCCGUAGGCGACAGACCAACUCUAUCAGAUGCUCCGCCUCCGAAAAGCAUGACACCAACCAUCCUAAACCAGACGAUGUCGUUGAAUUGCCGCUCUUUCCUCUCCCGCUCGUCCUAUUCCCUGGCGCUAUCUUGCCCCUCCAGAUCUUCGAGUUCCGUUACCGCAUUAUGAUGCACACUCUCCUCCACACUGACCUGCGAUUCGGUGUCAUCUACUCCGACGCUGCCUCCGGCACUGCUGAAGUCGGAUGUGUAGGCGAGAUUGUUAAACACGAGCGCCUCGUCGACGACCGCUUCUUCCUCAUCUGCAAGGGCCAGGAGCGUUUCCGUAUUACCAAUCUUGUCCGCACAAAACCAUAUCUUGUGGCCGAGGUUAGUUGGCUGGAGGACCGGCCGUCUGGGGAUGAGGACGUCGAAACUUUGGCGACGGAAGUGGAGAACUAUAUGAAAGACGUGAUUCGAUUAUCGAAUCGGUUGAACGGGAAGCCCGAAAAGGAAGCUCAGGAUUUGCGAAGGAAUCUGUUUCCGACUCCGUUUUCGUUUUUCGUAGGGAGUACUUUCGAGGGCGCGCCAAGGGAGCAGCAGGCGUUGCUGGAAUUGGUGGAUUCGGCGGCGAGAUUGAAGAGAGAGAAGGAGACUUUGAGAAACACUCUUAACUACUUGACCGCAGCCUCCGCCGUUAAAGAUGUGUUUCCGUCUUCAUGAUAAGAAAAAAAAAAAAAAGAAGAUCACACGUGGUAAUUGAAGUUCAGGAAGAGCAAAGAGGAUGCGGAAAAUAUAUGUAAGUCUCAAUGUGAAAUCGUUUGCUUUUAGUAGGAUUUACGAAGUUGUAAAUUUUGAUGUGUAAUUUGUCUGUUUUUCUAAUCAUUAGAUGAUAAAUUGUUGACAUUCAUAAAUUGAAGAGGAUUUGCACAUAAUCAACGCUUGUUAAUUAUUAAUAUGAUAUUAUUUUUCUUCCUCCACAUAAACCAACCUCUCCCCUCUCCCCCCCCUCCCCCAUAACCCAACCUUCUUCUCCCUCUUUCCUCUUUCCUCUUUCCUCUUUCCUCUUUCCUCUUU